AUACGGAGGUUGCGAGCGUUAAUCGGAAUUACUGGGCGUAAAGCGUACGUAGGCGGUUGGUUAAGUUAGAUGUGAAAGCCCCGGGCUUAACCUGGGAACUGCAUUUAAAACUGACGAACUAGAGUUGAGUAGAGGGGAGUGGAAUUUCAGGUGUAGCGGUGAAAUGCGUAGAGAUCUGAAGGAACACCAGUGGCGAAGGCGACUCCCUGGACUCGAACUGACGCUGAGGUACGAAAGCGUGGGUAGCAAACGGGAUUAGAAACCCGAGUAGUCC
rnacentral:rRNA from 1 species